GUUGUCCUGCAGAUACUGUGGACAAUCCUUUGUAAUCUAGGAAUAACAUGAUUGUAUUUUCUCUUCUUUUAAAAAUGCUCAUUUCUUAUCAGCCCAUAAUUCAUUUUGACUCCAGACAUAAACACAUUUGGUUUCUGUUAUCUCUAAGCUUGCAGUGAAUAUACUAUGCAAAUGUACAAGCAGUGUGAGCUCAGACACUCAGAAUUCUUCUAGGUCUUUUUUUUAGACUGUCAAGCAGCAGGAUUUUAAUCUAGACUUUGCUCCAUUAAAUGCAAAGGUGUUUCCUGUUCAGCUUUCUACUUCAUCUGUCUCCAAACCACAUUUCAAAAGAGGAGGUCUUAGAAGACAUGAAGAGCUUGAAGGUCCUGGCCAUCUGAAUAGCUGGCAGGGAUGGUGACAACACAGACACACUGGAAGGAAUGCAGUGAGAGAGUCCUGGCAGUUGAAAUAUUUUGCAUAUCAAAAGUAAAUUCUAUUACAUUAAACAAUGUGGACUGAAUGUUGCAGUCCAUUAGGCCAAAGAAAGAAUGUGAGAGGCUGGAUAUCUGUCUGAGGAUGAAAAUCACUAUGCUUAGACAUACAAUGAAGGACUUCACCAUGAAAGAAGAUGAAAUUAUUUUCCUGUACCACAAGAAUAGAUGUUGCAUAUGCUAACUAAACACAGUCCUAGGUCAUGGAGCUACCAGUGCAAAUCUUGUAACAGCAGAGGAGAUUGUGUUUAAGCUUAGCUCUGCUUUGGGAUGAUGGCAGUUGUGUCCAUGUUUCAAUGACCACAGAAAUCAGCCUGACCUGCUGCAGCAUUCAUGGGUUACAGGUUUUUAGUAAAAAGAUUUAUUCAAAAUCCACUGAAUUAUUGUAAAGACACUCCAGGAAUAUAAACAAAGAGCAAAAAGAAGAGUACUGUGGAGUCCCCUUAGUGUAGAUCUAACCUUCCUAAAGUCUUCCAAAACUAAACAAGACUCUAACAGGCUUGUGAAAGAGACCCUGACAAACUUUGUCCCAGUUUUUGUAUACUUUGAGCUAGAAUGCCCAAUUCUGCUACAAAUUCCUCCUGCAUCUCCUUUGAAUAUGGUGCAAAAUCUUUUGCUAUACAUCAUGGAAAGGCUUGAAUUUGAUCUUUCUGAAAAGUAUAAAGUGCAAAAAUUUUAAUUUUUGAGCAGCAGAGCAGUAAGCAGAGUUCUUUUGGUGCUCUUUUGUGAUGAGAAAGGACACCUCAUCUGCUUCACAUGGUCACAAAAACUUACUUCCUGUAUAUAAUUUUGAAGAAUAUAGUUAUGGACUCUGGAGGGAAAAACAAGAAGACUGCAUUUUGGCACUUCCCUGUAGAUGCAGUCAUCCAACAAGCUCCAGACAAAAAAAUAGAAUUUUUUUUCCCAAAUAAAUAAAUUCUGAAGUGGUUAAGCAUUUUCAUUCUUCUAAUAAUAUUAAUACUACUAUUAAUAUUUAAAAAAUAUCAUGAUGAACUAUAUUACUUUUUCGUAUAAUAGAAGAACAGUGAAUACAAAUAUCUGGGGUCUUGGAGAAUAAUAUUAACUAUUAUCAUGCAGCCUAGGACACAACAAAGAAUUAAUAUCGAUAGAGAGUCAACCACAUCAAACUUGGAGCAUGUUAGUGGGUUCCCCUCUGGAUACAGUAGAUGAGUGCACAGGAAUCAGGGACACUGGGACAUACACAGAGGACCACAGAAACAGGAGCCUGAGCCUCUGCAUGGAGCUGGGCUUAACUGCAAACAAACAGAAAUGAAAUUUCUCUGUUACUUGCUACACGAGCUCACCUGUCUCAGGAGAAAUCUGAGAAGAUUUUUAUGUCACUUGGAGUGUAUUUAUCCAUACUAAUUCAGAGAAAGAAGCCAUAAGCAUCUCCAUAAGUUUCAUACCAGUAACUCCCUAACCUAUUCAAACUAAAUAAAAUAUUUCCUGGAGGUACGUGUGAAAUAUACUGGGAAUUUAAUGAUUAGCUGCAGAAGAACUGAAUUCCAAUUUUAAUUUAAAACCUUUUGAUUUAUUUUAAAAUAAAAGCACUUUCCAUUUCAAUUUACAUUUUCUGUUUACAAUUUUAGUAACGUGCUCUUUUCUGCAUAACAUUUUGAAAUCAGACAAAAAUAAUUCAGACACUUCUAUGUAAACCUGAGGUCAGUUGCAUGUUUGAUAGAAAUGCUUUGUUUCCAAGACAGAACUUAGCAACAGCACUUCCCAACAUCUUUUUCAUUUCACUGUGGGGCAGCAAAGAAGUGGCCUCUUCAUCAUAUUCACAGGAAGAGUCAGGAUCCCUGUGAUAUCUGCUUUCCCUCCUCAGUAUGUCCAAGUGCUUAUACAAAAUCAUUUCAGGGAUCCAUGGCGCCCUACUUUAUCCCUCUCUAAAUUUCUUUUUACUAAAUUUCCCCACAAUAAUAUUUGUUGCUGUCUCUGGGGAAUUUAAUAAUUGGGGGCUUUUUCCCUCCUUCACAAUCUGGGAAUUACUUUUAAUAUUAGGAUUUAAAACUCCUCUUUUUCCAAAGGAAAACUGGCAGAAAAAGCAUUCUGUGGAGACAUCUUCCACAGUUUAAUUUUGUCUUGAGCAUAUUAAGAUUUCAUGACUAGAGCCUUACAAUUAACUGGAGUCAGGAAUUAAGUGGACUAGAAACACUGUAGGCAUCCUAAAUAUUCAGUGAACAGAAAGAAGGGAAAUAGAUGAGCAUGAUUUUCCCCUGUGGUGGGAGGAUUAGGAAUGGGGCUACUCUUCUCUCUUCAGUGCUUCUUCAGUGCUUCACAGAAAUUGCUAGAAUCAGGUGUAUUUAAUCUGGUCCAUUUAAUCUGCUCCAAUACUGCCAGAAAUAUUCUUGUAUUACUACCAUGGAUAACUGGUUUCACUGCUAGAAAAUUAUGAAUUUCUCUGCAUUAAGAGUCUGUUUCUAUGAGAACUUAUGAUUUGCUGUGCUAGGCAAAAUGGAUGCUCUUUUCUUUUAAACUGAAUAUAUUAUGGGUAAUUAAACACUGAAUGUUAAUUUGCUAUAAUGUGAAGUGAACUUGAUAAUAAAAGAACCCAUUUAUUUCAAAGUCUGUGAAUCUAAAGAAGGGAUGGAAUAUGCUUUUAAUAUAAAAAAAUAUUUCAAUUAAAGUGCUCAAAUGCUGUAGUUAUCCACCUCUUAAAAAUUCUAAGCAUUUUAGUAUGGAUUGUGUUUGUACUCAAUUUUUGUCCUCUGGUGUGGUCUUUUCUCACUCUUUUAGCAUCACUGGUGCUUUUUCCUGGUUUCUGGUGUUCACAAUGUCCAUGCCAUGAAUUCUGAAUGAGUUUGGCUGACAAAUGUCCCAUGGGAUCCCAGCAGAGCCCCUCUCCUUUGCUGAGCUCACGUGGAGCAGAAUCCACUGCAGCAGGGGAGGAGGAGUGGGGGUCCUGGUCUUGCCAGCACAGUGGGAUCAGAAUUGCCAACCCAUCCAAAGGAUCUAGGAUGUGCAGGAGCAGAAAUGGAUGUAGGGACAGUCCAAAAGGUUUGUGCUGGGUUUGGAUGUUACCAUCUUAUGACUAGAUAUGAAUUUGAGCAAUAGGCAUUGAAUUAGCUUAUAACCACUCUUGUGUUAAAGAGAAGGCUGGGAAGCACUUAAGUAGAGGGCAUAUAUACAGGGUCACACUGCUAAAAUAUUUUCUCCCUAUUUUUCCUGUCAGUAUUCCCAAUUAAGUAGCAAUUUUUUUUCCAGGACUAUUAAAUAAUUGUUUCUAACAAAAAUGUAUUUUGUGUGGUAAUUAUUUUUGAACUGU